rnacentral:rRNA from 1 species
GACGAACGCUGGCGGCGUGCCUAAUACAUGCAAGUUGAGCGAUGAAGAUUGGUGCUUGCACCAAUUUGAAGAGCAGCGAACGGGUGAGUAACGCGUGGGGAAUCUGCCUUUGAGCGGGGGACAACAUUUGGAAACGAAUGCUAAUACCGCAUAAUAACUUUAAACAUAAGUUUUAAGUUUGAAAGAUGCAAUUGCAUCACUCAAAGAUGAUCCCGCGUUGUAUUAGCUAGUUGGUGAGGUAAAGGCUCACCAAGGCGAUGAUACAUAGCCGACCUGAGAGGGUGAUCGGCCACAUUGGGACUGAGACACGGCCCAAACGCCUACGGGAGGCAGCAGUAGGGAAUCGUCGGCAAUGGACGAAAGUCUGACCGAGCAACGCCGCGGGAGUGAAGAAGGUUGUCGGAUCGUAAAACUCGGUUGGUAGAGAAGAACGUUGGUGAGAGUGGAAAGCUCAUCAAGUGACGGUAACUACCCAGAAAGGGACGGCUAACUACGUG